rnacentral:rRNA from 1 species
UACAGAGGUCCCGAGCGUUGUUCGGAUUCAUUGGGCGUAAAGGGUGCGUAGGUGGCGCCGUAAGUGGGGUGUGAAAUCCCGGGGCUCAACCCAGGAACUGCAUUUGAAACUCCCUUUCUUGAGUGUCGGAGAGGAAAGUGGAAUUCCUGGUGUAGAGGUGAAAUUCGUAGAUAUCAGGAGGAACACCGGUGGCGAAGGCGGCUUUCUGGACGACAACUGACGUGAGACGCGAAAAGCGUGGGGGAGCAAAACAGG